UUAUCUAUAGGUUGAGCGUGUUAAGGGAGUUUACCUCACUGCAGGUGUACCUAGCACUUUUAUUGUGAUGGAGCAUAGAUUGCACUAUGAUUUCUGAAGAGGCUGCUCUUUAAAGAGAGCAAAGCCUUAUGGAAAAGUCAAGGUUUUUUUGUGGAAGACGUGAUGGAAACUAUUACAGCUCCAAUUCUCGCUAUUGCUAGAAAAAACAGAGGUAGCAGCAGAAGAGGAAAGUAAGCGCUAAAGUUGAGCCAGGAAUCUUAUACAAGUGGCUGGUAAAGAAGAGAUGAGGAGGGAUGUGAGCAGAGGCAACGGAGAGGCAGAGAUGAUACUGCUUUGUGUCGGCAUGGAGUUGGAUGCUUGCACACAAAUAUGUGCCAGGUGAUGACACUGGUUACAAGUAAUCAUGAACUGAAGAUUACAACCAGAAAAUUCAGAGCUCUCUUUUGAAAAGAUGACUCAAAGUGCAGGGAUGGAAAAACAGUGGUGCAUAACAGCAGUUCUGGACAAUAGAUUCUGCUCCCUUCCACUCCAUGGGGAAUGUCAGUGACAACCCCACACAUAUCAGCAUA